CCCACGAAGAAAAAAACAAGCCCACUCCACGCCUCCUCGUCCACCACCUCGCCCGAUCCCCAACCUCCGGAUCUCCCCAGUCCCAGCGACGCCGAGCUCCCCCUGACCCCGCCUCCACCAGGCGUCGCUGCCCCCGCCCCCGCCCCCUUCAACUCCCGCCCCGCCGGCAAGCCGGGCGCCGCCAUGCCCGCCCUUUCCUUUGACCGAUCUCCUCCUUCCUCACCGUCGACGUCGUGGGAGCACCCAUCCCGCUGCCCAGACCCUAGCCAGUGACGCCGCCACCGCCACGCAGCCGCAGCCACGCCCCUGUCGACGGCGCCGCCGCAGCCCCACCCCCGCCGGCGACGCAACCGCAGCCCCGACCCCAGCCGAUGACGCGCAACACCACCUGCCAGAGCACCUCGUGGAAGCCCGAUCCAGCGAGGAUCCUUCACCACCCUCCACUCUCCGGUGACCACCAGCCCGCGUGCGGAUGGUGUGCUAUCCUGCAGAUCGAGGAGGCGUCGAACUUCAGAUGGAGGAGGCCACAACCUGCAGCUGGCCGCGCCAUGGUUGCGCGUCACCGGCAUCCUCCGUCACGCUCGGCACCUCCUGAGCGUUGGAGUGAAGGGCAUUUUCUUCAGGGCAGUGGAGAGCACCCUCACCCUGAUCCCAUCUGCAGCAGCGCCCCGAGUCCUCCCAAAGCAGCCUUGAGCCGUUCAAGUAUGCAGCCCCGGGCCGUUCAACGACGGAGCUGCCGACCGUUCGUGAACACAACACCCCGGAUCCUGCUGCCCACCAUCCUGUAAAGGGAGACUUAUUGUGAAGACUUCAAACUGAGUACAGAAGACUCGAUUAAUUUUUGCUCCCUUCUUGAAAGGAAGAGGGGAGUUGGUUCUCUUUUGAGUGCAGUGCAUGUGAAUACAUAUGGCCUGAAGCUGCUAUAAUUGUCCAAAAUCCGGUGUUUGCUACUGCAAUCCGAGUGAAGUAUAUUUGGAAACAUGCCUGCCUCGAGUCUUCUACUCUGUUCCUGAACCAGCAGUCCUCGAGGCAGGAUGUACUACUACCUGGACUCAUCUGCCCCGGAGGCACAACACGAACCAAGCCCCAUGUUUUUCAGUGACUGACUCAGUAGUCCUUGAUGGUCGAACAUCCGGCAGCUAGCCCGUACUGCACCACCAUAUCUUGCCAUCUUAUGAUCCCAGCAAAAUGUUGAAGUAAAACACACACCACCAGGAGGAGAGUAUAUGUCAAGGAAGGACUGGUGAAAUAGCAGGGCAAAGAUGCCACACUAAUGCUGAGCCGGAGUGGUAGCGUGUGUGCGAGAAGACUCGUUUGUUUGGGUUGGGGAGCCAGCCGAGCCAACGCACACUUGGUGGACAGUCUAUCUGGUUCGUACGCCCGGCCAUGAUAUUGUGUCCGAAAAGAAGACUCAAAUGGGCACGUUCAACUACUGUGUCCCCAGCCAUGAAAACUUGUGGCCCGUCAUGGUCUCCUCACACCUAAACGGCUGCCAUUUUUCUAUUAGUGAAAUUUCCUCUGUUUUGGAUUUAUGAAGAUGGAACAGAUCACUGUUUAGAGUUUUGUUGGUACGCUGUUGCUGCAGUUUAAAAUGACAGAGAGAGAGAUUUCUUUUAA